ensembl:lncRNA
AUUGACCAGGAGACAUACGAAAACACAAAAACAGGUAGCCGAAUACAACUGUUCAACGUUCAUGUUAAAGAAUCUAAUAAAUCUAAUAAAUUCGUUUCAUUGAUAAAUGAGCAUGACUAUAAUAAUUUUUUGUAUAAUAAUUUGCAAGGAGGUAAAAAAAAAGAUUAUAUCAUGAAAAAUUCAUUAAAUUAUAAUACAUUUAUUUCAAUGUUUUUAAAAGAGGAAAAUGAAAAGAGUAACAACAAAAACGAUAGUAAUAACAUGAAUAAUAAUACUCAUUAUUUUUAUGAUUAUGAUAAAUUUUUUAAAUUUUUUAACCGACGUGCGUUGAAUUAUACACCGGUUGUUUUUGACGCAACUUGUUCAACAUACAUAAAUAUUGAUAUUAAAUAUAAAAAUAAAUUGUUCCAAGAGUUAGAGAAUAUUUUAACUAUAAUACAAAAUGAACAAAAAAAUGGAGAACAAAAUGAACUAAAUGAAAAUAGCAACGUAUUAGUGAAUGAGAAUGUAUCAGAGGGUAAAGUCAAGUUAGAGGGUAAAGACACGUUAGAGGGUAAUGACACGUUAGAAGGUAAUGACAUGUCAGAAAUUAAAGAACUAUCAGAAAGUAUAGCCAUUCCAAAAAAAUAAAAACCAUAAUAAAAUAUACCCUUCUUUUAUUUAUACGAAUAUAUUUAAGAUACCCGUUUUAUCAACAAUCCAUAUGAAUAUUCUUAAAAAAUAUGUACAAUUAAAUAAAAACACAAAAAAUAUAUUUUAUGAUUUAACACAAGGGAGUUUUUAUAACAUCUCUGGAAUGGUUAUUCAUUACACAGAAUUCGAAAUAAAAGGAAUAUCGGAUAACAAUUCUAGUGAAAGUAAUAAAAGCAAAUUAAGUUAUAAAAUUUUUUUUUUAACUUCUAAUUUGCAUUUGUGUUGUAUAAACGUUUCUAUGACAACUUCUGAUUUUUGGCUUUCAAAUUAUAAAAAAAAUUUUGAGUGUAAGGAAAAGGAAAUACUUAGGAGAAUGAUUUAUGUACGAAAGAACAAAGACACAAAUAAAGAUCAAAAUUAUGAAAUUAAAAAAAAUUGUAAAUAUAAAAAUAACAAUAUGAACAGGACUAAUCAUUAUAAUAAAAAUAAUACCGUAUUUAAUUAUUUAUACAAAAGUGAGACAACAAAUAAUAAUGAGCGAGACAUUGAUGAGGAAGAAGAGCUACUAAAAAAUAUAGAUAUAUUUAUAUUUUUUAAAAACGCACUGUUUAUAAAUUAUGAUAAAAAGCAUGACAUAUUUAACUUCCAAUCGUACUACCACCCGGAAUUUCGUACUUUAAAACAGUAUUCAAAUGAAUUUUGUUACAUUAAAAACGACAUGGCACAAUUAAUGAGAGAUGAAUAUCUUAUGUUAAAAAGUAAUAAACUUGUAGUGAAAUUAAAAGAAAAGGAAAAAUCAAAAAUUGAAAAAAAAAAAUUUAUCUUGCAUGUAUUUUUUAUACAUAAUAAUUUACGCAAAGAAUAAAUCUAUAGAAUUAACUGGAUCAUCCAUAGAAAACAAUUAUUUAUUUACAUUUUUAAGAAAUACGUACAAAUAUAUGUUUUAAAUAAAUACUUAUAAAAAAAAAGUUGUACUUUUUUU